AUUGAACGCUGGCGGCAUGUCUUACACAUGCAAGUCGAACGGCAGCACGGGUGCUUGCACCUGGUGGCGAGUGGCGAACGGGUGAGUAAUACAUCGGAACAUGUCCUGUAGUGGGGGAUAGCCCGGCGAAAGCCGGAUUAAUACCGCAUACGAUCUACGGAUGAAAGCGGGGGACCUUCGGGCCUCGCGCUAUAGGGUUGGCCGAUGGCUGAUUAGCUAGUUGGUGGGGUAAAGGCCUACCAAGGCGACGAUCAGUAGCUGGUCUGAGAGGACGACCAGCCACACUGGGACUGAGACACGGCCCAGACUCCUACGGGAGGCAGCAGUGGGGAAUUUUGGACAAUGGGCGAAAGCCUGAUCCAGCAAUGCCGCGUGUGUGAAGAAGGCCUUCGGGUUGUAAAGCACUUUUGUCCGGAAAGAAAUCCUUGGCCCUAAUACGGUCGGGGGAUGACGGUACCGGAAGAAUAAGCACCGGCUAACUACGUG
rnacentral:rRNA from 1 species